AUUGAACGCUGGCGGCAGGCUUAACACAUGCAAGUCGAACGAGUGGCGGACGGGUGAGUAAUGCUUGGGAAUCUAGCUUAUGGAGGGGGAUCACUACGGGAAACUGUAGCUAAUACCGCGUCCCAUAGGAUGAGCCCAAGUGGGUUUAGGUAGUUGGUGAGGUAAAGGCUCACCAAGCCGACGACCUCUAGCUGGUCUGAGAGGAUGACCAGCCACACUGGGACUGAGACACGGCCCAGACUCCUACGGGAGGCAGCAGGGGGGAAUAUUGCACAAGGGGCGCAAGCCUGAUGCAGCCAUGCCGGGUGUAUGAAGAAGGCCUUCGGGUUGUAAGUACUUUAAGUCGGGAGGCGUUACCGACAGAAGAAGCACCGGCUAACUCCGUGCCAGCAGCCGCGGUAAUUC
rnacentral:rRNA from 1 species